rnacentral:piRNA from 1 species
UCAAACAGGGUGUCAUAUAGCCCAGGAUGG